rnacentral:rRNA from 1 species
UACGUAGGCAGCAAGCGUUGUUCGGAGUUACUGGGCGUAAAGGGUGCGUAGGCGGCUUCUUAAGUCUGGUGUGAAAUCUCCCGGCUCAACUGGGAGGGUGCGCCGGAUACUGAGGGGCUAGAGUGUGGGAGAGGAAAGUGGAAUUCCUGGUGUAGCGGUGAAAUGCGUAGAUAUCAGGAGGAACACCGGUGGUGUAAACGGCUUUCUGGACCAUAACUGACGCUGAGGCGCGAAAGCUAGGGGAGCAAACAGG